rnacentral:rRNA from 1 species
UACGUAGGGUGCAAGCGUUGUCCGGAAUUAUUGGGCGUAAAGAGCUCGUAGGCGGUUCGUCACGUCGGCUGUGAAAUCCCGAGGCUCAACCUCGGGUCUGCAGUCGAUACGGGCGGACUUGAGUACUGCAGGGGAGACUGGAAUUCCUGGUGUAGCGGUGAAAUGCGCAGAUAUCAGGGGGAACACCGGUGGCGAAGGCGGGUCUCUGGGCAGUAACUGACGCUGAGGAGCGAAAGCGUGGGGAGCGAACAGG